UCCUGGUUACCUGAGCUGGCAGAGAGCUCCACUGGAAGUGGAAAGGUCUCGGGUUCGAUACCCGGACCAGGCG
rnacentral:tRNA from 1 species